UACGUGGGGUGCUAGCGUUAUCCGGAUUUACUGGGCGUAAAGCGUACCGUCGGCGGUCGGCUAUGUCGGAUGUGAAAGCCUCGGGCUUAACCCGAGAAGGGCAUCCGAAACUGGCCGGCUUGAGUACGGAAGAGGGUCUCGGAAUUCCCGGUGUAGAGGUGAAAUUCGUAGAUAUCGGGAGGAACACCAGUGGCGAAGGCGGAGACCUGGGCCGAUACUGACGCUGAGGUGCGAAAGCGUGGGGGAGCAAACAGG
rnacentral:rRNA from 1 species